rnacentral:rRNA from 1 species
AUUGAACGCUGGCGGCAGGCCUAACACAUGCAAGUCGAGCGAGCGGCGGACGGGUGAGUAAUGUAUGGGAACUGCCCGAUGGAGGGGGAUAACUACUGGAAAAGGUAGCUAAUACCGCAUACUAUCAGAUAACCCGUAUGGGAUUAGAUAGUAGGUGAGGUAAUGGCUCACCUAGGCGACGAUCCCUAGCUGGUCUGAGAGGAUGAGCAGCCACACUGGGACUGAGACACGGCCCAGACUCCGACGGAGGCAGCAGUGGGGAAUAUUGCACAAUGGGCGCAAGCCUGAUGCAGCCAUGCCGCGUGUAUGAAGAAGGCCUUAGGGUUGUAAAGUACUUUCAGUCGGGAGGCGUUACCCGCAGAAGAAGCACCGGCUAACUCCGUGCCAGCAGCCGCGGUAAUAC